AGUGAACGCUGGCGAUAGGCCUAACACAUGCAAGUCGAACGGCAGCACAGUAAGAGCUUGCUCUUACGGGUGGCGAGUGGCGGACGGGUGAGGAAUACAUCGGAAUCUACUUUUUCGUGGGGGAUAACGUAGGGAAACUUACGCUAAUACCGCAUACGACCUACGGGUGGAAGCAGGGGAUCUUCGGACCUUGCGCGAUUGAAUGAGCCGAUGUCGGAUUAGCUAGUUGGCGGGGUAAAGGCCCACCAAGGCGACGAUCCGUAGCUGGUCUGAGAGGAUGAUCAGCCACACUGGAACUGAGACACGGUCCAGACUCCUACGGGAGGCAGCAGUGGGGAAUAUUGGACAAUGGGCGCAAGCCUGAUCCAGCCAUACCGCGUGGGUGAAGAAGGCCUUCGGGUUGUAAAGCCCUUUUGUUGGGAAAGAAAAGCAGCAGGUUAAUACCCCGCUGUUCUGACGGUACCCAAAGAAUAAGCACCGGCUAACUUCGUG
rnacentral:rRNA from 1 species